rnacentral:rRNA from 1 species
AGAUUGAACGCUGGCGGAAUGCCUUACACAUGCAAGUCGAACGGCAGCACGGGAGCAAUCCUGGUGGCGAGUGGCGAACGGGUGAGUAAUACAUCGGAACGUGCCCAAUCGUGGGGGAUAACGUAGCGAAAGCUACGCUAAUACCGCAUACGAUCUACGGAUGAAAGCAGGGGAUCGCAAGACCUUGCGCGAAUGGAGCGGCCGAUGGCAGAUUAGGUAGUUGGUGGGGUAAAGGCUCACCAAGCCUUCGAUCUGUAGCUGGUCUGAGAGGACGACCAGCCACACUGGGACUGAGACACGGCCCAGACUCCUACGGGAGGCAGCAGUGGGGAAUUUUGGACAAUGGGCGCAAGCCUGAUCCAGCCAUUCCGCGUGCAGAUGAAGGCCUUGGUUGUAAACUGUCUUUUGUACGGUAACGAAACGUCCUUUACUCUAAUACAGGAGGUCAUGACGGUAACCGUAAGAAUAAGACACCGGACUAACGUAACGUGCCAGCAA